rnacentral:rRNA from 1 species
GAUGAACGCUGGCGGCGUGCCUAAUACAUGCAAGUCGAGCGAACAGACGAGGAGCUUGCUCCUCUGACGUUAGCGGCGGACGGGUGAGUAACACGUGGAUAACCUACCUAUAAGACUGGGAUAACUUCGGGAAACCGGAGCUAAUACCGGAUAAUAUAUCGAACCGCAUGGUUCAAUAGUGAAAGACGGUUUUGCUGUCACUUAUAGAUGGAUCCGCGCCGCAUUAGCUAGUUGGUAAGGUAACGGCUUACCAAGGCAACGAUGCGUAGCCGACCUGAGAGGGUGAUCGGCCACACUGGAACUGAGACACGGUCCAGACUCCUACGGGAGGCAGCAGUAGGGAAUCUUCCGCAAUGGGCGAAAGCCUGACGGAGCAACGCCGCGUGAGUGAUGAAGGUCUUCGGAUCGUAAAACUCUGUUAUUAGGGAAGAACAAAUGUGUAAGUAACUAUGCACGUCUUGACGGUACCUAAUCAGAAGGCCACGGCUAACUACGUG